UAGCGUAUAUUAAAGUUGUUGCAGUUAAAAAGCUCGUAGUUGGAUUUGUGGUGUGUCCAGUUGGCCUUUGCUCUUUGAGUGAUAGUGCUUUACUGGUCUGCCAUGUUUGGGUGGAAUCUGUGUGGCAUUAAGUUGUCGUGCAGGGGAUGCCCAUCGUUUACUGUGAAAAAAUUAGAGUGUUCAAAGCAGGCUUAUGCCUCUGAAUAUAUUAGCAUGGAAUAAUGAUAUAGGACCUUGGUACUAUUUUGUUGGUUUGCGCACUGAGGUAAUGAUUAAGAGGGACAGUUGGGGGUAUUUGUAUUCCAUUGUCAGAGGUGAAAUUCUUGGAUUUUUGGAAGACAAACUACUGCGAAAGCAUUUACCAAGGAUGUUUUCAUUAAUCAAGAACGAAAGUUAGGGGAUCGAAGAUGAUUAG
rnacentral:rRNA from 1 species